rnacentral:misc_RNA from 1 species
AAGAAAUGCGGCGGAGGGGCCCCCCAAAAGGGCCACCCGAGCCAACACGUUCUACCCUGUCUUUUCGAUACCUCUACCUCCUCCCCGGCCUCCGGGCCGGGAUGGCUACUUCAAAAAAACCUUGCAGUUUACAGUCAAUUCAGUACUUUGUAACAAAAUUA